ACGCCUGCGCACACGCCAAAUCAUCAUCACUCCCUCCUCCCCAUGACUGGAGGAGUGGGCAGCCACAGCGACACACAAAAACCGAAAAGGCACGAAACCAGUUAAAGGGAGGUUCAAGCAGAGUAACCCCCCCCCCCCACACACACACAGCCUCUAGACGCUGUCUUUUACUGUAGUGAGGACGUGCCUUUGGCCGCGAAUACGGCGGGCGAGCGCUUGCCCUCGGUCUUUUCGUUGCCCCUUCCUCUCCGCCCUGAGCUGGCAGGUGAGUGUGCACCACUCCCUGAAGGAGAAUUGGGAUGCCAGCCGAUCCAGUAUACCAUACUCCAUAGAUCCCCACUCCGUCCCAUCUCCCUCUCUCACGCGAUAGGAAGUACGCCAGACAGGAAUGUUGUGAAUGCGGCUGUGGUCUUGAUGGUGCAGAGGUGGACUGGGGGGGCGGGUGCGCGUGCGCUGAGUACUGAUGAGCCGAUUGCAAAAAGGAAGCUGUGCAUGGGCAUUCUCGUGCAUCGCUGCGCCUCGCGUGGCCUCGCGUUUUUGCGGGGCCCCAGACGGAUUACGCCGGCUGCCGACGGCACCUCCGGAGCACCGAAGACCGGGGAAAAGGCGGGCGCCCUGCGCACGGUGGGGAUCCUGACGGCCGAUGGCUCGAUCAUUCAUGCUGCUGAGCGAGGGGGUGCAGGUGCCCGAGGAGUGCAUCUGUCGCCUCGAAGGCCCCGCUCACAGCACGCGCCUCGAGGCGGCGGUCAGCCGAUGCAUGGACAGCCGCACGCGCCCGCUUCCGGAAGCGGGUGCGGGCGUGGGCCUCUGCGGAACGCUCACCCUGUCCAAAACGGCAUCGCUGACCCCUAUUACCGAGGCCGGCGCAUGAUGCAGACCGUCGUCUCGACGAUCUACGGCGUCGCAUUCAGCGGGCGCAACGUGACACCAGCAGAGAACCGCGACAGUGCAGAUGCGCCUGCAUUAUCCAUAUGAUUGGGCAGCGUGCCAGAGCGACUCGGGCGCAUGUCUCACCCGGCCCUCGCGCACUGCCUGCUGGUGCGGGGGGGUGGGGGGCUGAGCCAUGCCCCGAGGAGGGAUGCACUAGGGCUGGCGGCCGGCAUGAUGGGGGAGCGGCUGUGAGGCGAGACCUGCGAGGCAAGGAGAGAGGGAGAGAGAGGUUGGUAGGGCACGAGGCAGGGGGGCCGUGCUCUCAGAUGGCUGAGUGGGCGCACUGCUGCAGCGCGUGUGUCCACGACUGCUUCGCACUACGCUGGUGGGGCUUGUGACAGGCCGGGGGUGGUGUGGGGUGGAGUUGGGCUCGUGUAUGACAGGGAAAGAGCUUCAUGGAAACAAACUCUUUGUUUUUCACGCUUGAGGCUCGAGAGAUUGACAGGUUCACUCUUCCCAUUGUCUUGUGAGGCGCCCUCUCGUAUGUUUUUUUUUUUUGCGGAGGGGGGCUGAAGGAAGGCCUUGACAGCACAGUUCUAAAAGCGACGGCAACACCAGAGAAGUGAGUCUGAAAAGCACAGAGCAACCAGUGGAGAAUGCAGAGCGCUGAGUAGAUGUGUUUUGGGAAGUCCAUGGUAUGCAUGCGCACAGAAGGGCUUUGCUGCCUCCCUCCUCUCCCCUUGUUCUUUUCCAUUUCUCUCUGCUGCUGGGUCUAUACUGGAUGCAAGGGAUUCUGGGAGAGAGGAUGACAUGCACGCGCAGAUCCGAUUGCACCCAAGAAAAAAAAACGAAUUAAGAGAUAACGACGGUAGACUUGCUAUCAACAGGGUGGGUCUGCUUGCCGCGUGCGCGUCUGUGACGCUCUGUGUCAGGGACAGCCGCCGCCCACUUGCCGCCACCCCAUUGCUUCAUCGAGAGGAAAACCGAGUGCCCGCCAGGUUAUUUCUUCUUUUGUUUUCGUGGCUCCUCGCUCACACGCGUCACAGUGCCACAAAAGAGGUAGAUUGUGUGUGUGUACGUCUUUUAUUAGCGAGGCAGCGGACAGCUGGGGGUCUCAUGCAACUCUCAUUCUCUGUCUUUUAUCUUGAGAGAGAUACCGGUAGGACCGCCGUUUAUGCUGUACCAGUGCCCGUGGCCACUGCGCGUCUUGAGAUACCUCAUAAUCGAUGGCCAUGUGUGACUCCCCCUCUCGCAUGUACGUUCGAA
rnacentral:misc_RNA from 1 species